rnacentral:rRNA from 1 species
GAUGAACGCUGGCGGCGUGCCUAAUACAUGCAAGUCGAGCGAACAGACGAGGAGCUUGCUCCUCUGACGUUAGCGGCGGACGGGUGAGCAACACGUGGAUAACCUACCUAUAAGACUGGGAUAACUUCGGGAAACCGUAGCUAAUACCGGAUAAUAUAUUGAACCGCAUGGUUCAAUAGUGAAAGACGGUUUUGCUGUCACUUAUAGAUGGAUCCGCGCCGCAUUAGCUAGUUGGUAAGGUAACGGCUUACCAAGGCAACGAUGCGUAGCCGACCUGAGAGGGUGAUCGGCCACACUGGAACUGAGACACGGUCCAGACUCCUACGGGAGGCAGCAGUAGGGAAUCUUCCGCAAUGGGCGAAAGCUUGACGGAGCAACGCCGCGUGAGUGAUGAAGGUCUUCGGAUCGUAAAACUCUGUUAUUAGGGAAGAACAAAUGUGUAAGUAACUAUGCACGUCUUGACGGUACCUAAUCAGAAAGCCACGGCUAACUACGUG